CUUUACUUUUAUUAAAGGUUUAAUCUAUCUAUCUAUCUAUCUAUCUAUCUAUCUAUCUAUCUAUCUAUCUAUCUAUCUAUCUAUCUAUCUAUCUAUUUCAUCCCUCCACUACUUUUUUCCACACAUGAACAGGACUUUUAUUAUGGUUAGGUUUGCUGAUAUGACGUCACAGAUUUGCGCCGUGUCUGUGUUUCGGCCAAGGGUUUGUGUUUUCGGAGCGUAUAAAUCAGUUAAAAACGCUCAGUAAUCGCCUGUUUAUCGUCGAUAAAUCCACCAGAAACACAAAUUCAGCGUCUGUAGGCAAAGAGGAGAGAAACCGAGCCUCCAGAAACUUCGAGUUAAUUCCUGCUUUGCAAACUCAACAAAACCACAGGUCAGAAGCCACGAAGCCGCUUUUAAACACACCGCAAACGUGGUGUGGAGAGUUUAAUCCAUCACAUGCAGUGUUCAAUCAUCCAAUAUUUGUAAUAUUGAGCAAUUAAGACUUGGAUUCAGAUCUAGUUUGCAUUUAUUCAUCAUUCUCCUCUUGAACACACAGAGAAGCUGCACACUUGUAAAGAUGGCGUUUAUUAAAGAGGAGUGUGAGGACAUCAGGAUUGCAGAUGUUUUCACGCUGGUAAAAGAAGAGCCUGAGGAUCCAAUAGACCUGAUGCCACUGAAAAGGGAGAUUCAAGAAUAUCUGAUUGAGAACCAUAACGACUUCAUACCUACAGAAAGUGAAUUCAUUUGCUCGCAGACUAUGAUGAGCUCACAAAAGGCUGCUCAAACAACAAAGACCGCACAUCCUCUCAAAUGCGACCAGUGCGGGAGAGGUUUUACUAAAAAGGGACACCUCAGAAACCACAUGAGGACUCACAAUGGAGAGAGCUCUUUCACCUGCCAACAGUGUGGAAAAGGUUUCACUCAAAAGUCAAACCUCAGAAACCACAUCAAAAUUCAUAUCGCGAAAAACGCUUUGACCUGCCAACAGUGUGGCAAAUCUUUCAGUAAUAAAGACUACCUUAAACGACACAUGAGAGUUCACACUAUAGAGACUUCUCACACGUGCCCUCAAUGCGGAAAGAGUUUUGCAGACGAAUCGAUAUGUAUCGCCCACAUGAGCAGUCACACUGGAGAAAAACCAUUUGUGUGUGAUCAGUGUGGGAAGAGCUACACAAGUCGGAGUAACCUUAAAUACCACAUGAAUGUUCAUGCAAAUGAGAACAGUUUUAUGUGCCAUCACUGCGGAGUGCGUUUCAGAAGAAGCGCUCAACUGAAGACUCAUGUAGAAACCCACAUCGAACUGGUGCCUUUAAUGUGUCGUCAGUGUGGAAAAACGUUCUCAACAAAAGAAAACCUCGAAGUUCACAUGAGAAACCACUCUAAGGAAAGACCUUACACCUGUCAACAGUGCGGGAAGCGUUUCAUCCGGAAUGCAAGUCUUAAAGAGCACAUGAUAAUUCACACUGGAGAGAAGCCACACAUCUGCCAACAUUGCGGGAAAAGCUUCUUUCGAAAAGCAUACCUUGAUAUCCACAUAAGGGUUCACACCGGAGAAAAACCGUACACCUGCCAAGAUUGUGGAAAGAGUUUCAUCCGGAAAGCACACCUUAAUACCCACGCGAAAGUUCACAGUGGGGAGAAACCUUACAGUUGUGAACUUUGCGGGAAGACCUCCUAUCGGAAAGAAGACAUUAAAAGGCACAUGAGAGUUCACACCGGAGAGAGGCCUUAUCGCUGCUCCAAGUGUGGAAAGGGCUUCACAUGUACAAGAAGCUUAAGGAGGCACACAAAAAUCCACCUACUGUAGAAAACAGGCAGAAGUCUAAUAAUCAUGGAUACCCUCAGCAGAGAGAGAACUCUUUCAUGGAACGCAAAGGAAAAGUGUCCCUCUAAACCAGGCAUGUCCAAACUCGGUCAUGGAGCACCGGUGUCCUGCAAAGUUUAGUUCCAACCCCAAUCAAACACACCUGGGCUAGCUAAUCAAGCUCUUACUAGGCUUUCUAAAAACACCCUUGCAGGUGUGUUGAGGCAAGUUGGAGCUAAAAUCUGCAGGACACUGGCCCUCCAGCACCAAGUUUGGACACCCCUGCUCUAAACAAAAGAAUCUCAUGCACCAAAGGAACCUGAAAAGCAUUCAUUCAAUCAUUUUUCUUCUUAUUAGUCCCUUAUUUAUUAGGGGUCGCCACAGCAGAAUGAAGCAUCAAUUAUUCAGGCAUCUGUUUUACACAGUGGAUGCCCUGCCGGCCGCAACCCAGUUCUGGGAAACACCCAUACACUCUCAGAUUUCCCAACACAUUCAUACACUAUGGCCUACGACUGUCGGGGAAAUCGGAGCACUCGAAGGAAACCCAUGACAACAAUGGAAGAACAUACAUACUCCACACAGGAAUGACUCAAACCAGCGACCUUCCUGCUGUGAGGCACUGAACCACCGUGCAACCCACAUCAAAACAUUAUAGAAGUUUAAACAAUUUCAGAAAUAUACUGCUGAUCUACCCUCUUCAUCAGUGUAUCACUCCGCCCGCAGAGAGUACCACACAGAAGACUAGAGUCACUAUAGAUUGACAAUUACCGCCGCUGUUAGACCACAAUGUAUAUUUGAUACUUUUUAGGCGGUAAUGUAGUUGCUUAGACUGUAAAUAUGCCGUUUAUUUACAGGUACAGCGUCUAUUAUAAAAUGUGUUUAGAAGAUUUUGGAAGUGGGACUUCUAGCAUGCCGGUGUCCUACCUUGUCAGAUUAUCCUACCUCCCAUUCAAAAGGUAGGUAGCACAUUUUGAUGAUGCAAUAUGCUACCCAUCUGAUUUUGCCACCAGUGUAGAUUUAAUGUGGAGUAGUGUGAUAUGAAGCUAUAAUGUCACCCUGACCCCCCAACCUCACAGCCAUUCAAAUACAGUGUUGGGCGCAUGAUCUGAUGGGUGGGAUACAACGUCAGGACACCGCAGACACUUAUUGAAGAUUUGGAUGUGUGUCUGUACAGUAGUCUGUUGUGUAGUGUAAUGUGUUUAGGCUAUAUCUAAAGGCAGUGUUUGGUCACUUAUCUGUUAUUUACUCUAGAGCAAAUAGAUUUCACUGCAAUGUUAAGUUUAACAGCUUACACUUGAAAACUUGGUCGUUGCUCUGUAGACUGAUUUACGUAGCAUCUUUAAAUUAUUGUGUUAGUGUUAUUGUGCAUUUAGUGACAUUUGAUAUGAACUGCAGUGAUAUUUAAUAAUAAAAAUGCUUUGUAUUACAAACUGCAGCAUUGAGUGUGAUUGGCAGGAGGAAUGUGAAGGGAGCAAACUAUUUCCUCAGGACAUUUUAAACUACAGCUGAAACAGGGUUGGACUAAAAUAAAUUGAAGUUUACUGGAAAAUAAAUACUAAAUAACACAAAUUUAAGUGUUUAAAAAUAGACAACAAAAUACAGCAGCCAUGUGUAACAUGUAUUACAUGUCUGAAAAGCUCCAGAAGUGUAUAUUUCUGUUGCACUAUAUAUAUAUAUAUAUAUAUAUAUAUAUAUAUAUAUAUAUAUAUAUAUAUAUAUAUUAUUUAAAAACUGACAUGCAUUAACAGAAUUGUUUUCUUAGGCUGUUCUAAAACACAUAAAAAACCAUUCAUGUUCACAAAUAUUGAAGACGCACCCUACUGUCAGGAGAAUCUCAUGAAUAUUCAUGUCAGCGCCACUAAUAUUUCAGGAUAUACCUGUAGAUCACACAGGCGUGUUUUAGUGAAGUGAAAGAGUGAAAGAGCUCAGAUUGUGUUCCUGCUGCACAAGAGCGUCUGUACUUCUGCAAGUAAGUUUAAUAUUUCUACUUUUACGCUGAUUUGUGGAGAUGAUGAAGGGGUUUUAUAUGUGUGAGUGUGAUUUAAAUGUCUGAUCCUGAAGAUCAAAUCCUCAAACUUUGAUUAAACAAACUUUUGAUUUUUGUCAAAACAGUCAUUUAAACUUAAACUUAAAACUUUAAUUUUAAUUCCUUGAAAAUGUUUGUACUCUUCUAUAUCAGGGUGACUUGAUCAUUUCAGAUCAUUCAGCACAAAACUAAAUUUUAAACAUUAGGAGUUUCGAACUCGAAAGUAAAGUUAAACCAGAUGUUCCAGUUGAACAGGAAGAAACUGCUGAAAAACAACAAGCUGCUGUUUCUUAUACAAUCUGCAUUUAACCCUUAACUGCCAGCUUGACGCGCUUUUAGUACUAACUAAAUAAAUACAUAAAAAGUUAUGACAAAAUAUUUAAUCUUAUUUUAUUGGUCUGCUUUGAGUAUUCUUAAAGAGAUCUCUCAGAUUUAAUCUCAAAUACCCGUUUUACCUUCCUCAAAUAUUCUAUUAACACACUUGUGCUCAGAGAAACAGUAUGAAUAUUUUCAGCUGCAGUGGUUUGGGUGUUGUUUUGAUGACUCGUCCACAGUUAUUAAUAUUUCAGGAUAUACCUGCAGUAGUGUUGUCAAAAAUAUAGGUAUUUCAAAAUGCAUCGAUACUGGAUUAUCUAAAACAAUACAGUUUUGCUUUUGGUUGGUAUUGAUAGCGGCUUUGGUCUCUUGAGGGUUGAUACACACUGCACAUGAGCACAGUCUAUCAGUCCUACAAUGUAAUCUGAUGAAUGGCUGAAGGGUAAAUGCCUGUAAGCCUUUUCUAGUGCUUCUGGAAUCUUUGUUUUAAGUGACAAUUGAAUUUAGACUAUUUCUGAUUAUAAACAGGUCACAUUUGUCGUGUAUGAAUUAAUUUAGAGUUUUGAUUUAUAUCUGCUCCUAUACUCUUCAAUUAUACAUUUAAAUUAGAAUCAAACGCCACUUAGAGUUUCAUGUCCCGGGUUUACGUGUUUGUCACAGACUUGAUCUCAAUGUUCUGAAGUUAGUCAGAGGAUGCAGAGGUAACUAAUACCUCACAAGUUGGUUGCCUUCUGCUCACUUGUACUAAAAGUGUAGUUCAUUUAGUUUUUUUCCACACAACUUGCUACUCUUAGUGAUUAAACAGAAAUAAUAAGGUCUUCACGCUGCUGUGCCUCUUGCUCCAUACAGUCAUAUGAGCUUAAAAACCUAUUAAAUCAUGUAAAGUAACAAAUUACAAAUACUCAAAAUACUGUAAUUGAGUAUUUUCCUCAAAAUAUUGUAAUUUAUUAAGUUGUUUUAUAAAUGUGUAUUGUACUUUACCUUGAGUACAUGUUUAUUGCAGUAUCGGUACUUUUACUCCACUACUGUCAUCUAACCUGCAGUCACUACAUUAUUUUCUUUUGUCUAUGGGGAUUAGAGAAGUCAGUCCUGUGAUUCCUGACCAGUCAAAUCACACAUAGAAGGUGAAUCAGAUCAUAAUGAACUACCUCAAGACAUGGAGAUUUAUAAUUGCAAAAAACUGUUUGGAAGCAUUAAUCAUGUCCAAGAAGAUGUCCAAUAUCUUUACAAGCAUUGACCCACUGUUUAGAUGCAGGUCACUGAUAAGAAAAUGACGGAUGUUUACUGUAUGAUGAAACUGGCCUUAAACACCCAGCAGGCACCCCAGGUGAAAAAAAAUAUAUAAUUAAAUGCAAAUAAAAUACACUUAAAAACCCACAAAUACAUUUUUA
rnacentral:lncRNA from 1 species